ensembl:lncRNA
CCUCUCUAACCGUGCGGAAACCACAGUUAUUGGAAUCCCAAUUUGUCAGGCUUAAGUUUGUUAAGAGCGCUGAUAAGAAAGUUUUUCGGGUUGAGCAAGGGUUCAGCACCGACUCAAAAAAUUGUAUAUAUGUUGUCUUUUGUUCAAAGUGUGGUGUUCAGUAUGUUGGAGAAACCAAGAACACAUUGUCCACACGUAUGAUGCAACAUCGAUACAAUGUGAAGAGAAAGAAGUCAACGGACACUCUUUUGGUUCAACAUUUUUUAAUUCAUGGCGAAGAAGCGAUGAGAAUGGCUGGCCUGCAACGGAAUGUAAGCUGGACGGAUUGGGAACGUAAAAAGAAGGAAAAGUACUGGAUUUAUUUAUUAGGUACUAAGGACCCAUCUGGCCUAAAUAUGCAAAUUUAGUUUAAUUUCCAAUUUGACCCAACUCCGGAUCCCAGUUCUUUGUCCAACCCUAAUUGAAAUGUGCCCUGGUCUGGUCCAAAUUUCUAUUAUCCCAUCCCCUUAUCCCCAAUCCGGAUCCUUUUCCUAACCCUAACCACUCCCCCUCUUCCCCUUUACCUCCUAUCCCCUCCCACUACCUUUCCCUAACCCCAACCCCUUCCCUUCCCCUAACCCUAACCCCACCCAUGUUCCCUUUCCCUAACCCUAACCUUUCCCCUUCCCCUAAUAACCCCAAUUGGCUUUAUGUCCAACCCUGAUAUCAGGUGGGAAUAUUUAAAUAUUUUAAUCUUCUGAAAAGGGGUUGAAUUAAUGACAGUAAAUUCAUUAUUGUACUGUCAAAGUAUAAAUAUACAAUUAUACACUCAAAUAUUAAAAAGGCACUCAUGCUAAUAAAUAAAUACAUAAAUAAGUUAAUUUAAAUAGUGUAUAAUUUCAAUUCAUGUGGUGUAAUUCAUUUCAGUGUAAUGUUAAGCCCUAAUUUUAAAAGGACACAGGGAAAUUGGAAAAACAUUUGAAACGAACGGUUUAAAUCGCACAACAGACCAGAGGAUAUAAAAGGAGCGCAGGCAGGAGAGAGAGCUCAUUCUGCUUUCGACAGCCAAACAGUGCACAUCUCCAGCAGCCAGCCAUUGUUUGGAGCGCUUGGAUUUUUGUUGGUUUUAUUUUCUUUCGUGCCUCACAGGCCUGAGGAAGACCUUUUAGGGUCGAAACGUUGCCUGAGGCACGUUUGAUUUUUUUCAACCGGAAAACACGGUUUUUUUGUUUUUAGGGAUUUUCAAGCCCCGGUGCUCUCUUUUAGUUGUUUGCAGAAUUUUUUAUUUAUACUAAACAACCGAAUACACGGUUUUCUUUUAAGGGAUUUUUAAGCCUUGGGGCUCUCUUUUCGUUGUUUGGGACCGAAUUUACGGUAUUUUAGUUUAAGGGAUUUUUAAGCCUUUGGGCUCUCUUUUAGUUGUUUGGAACCGAAUUUACGGUGUUUUAUUUUAAGGGUUUUUGAAGCCUUUGGGCUCUCUUUUAGUUGUUUAAAAACAAGUUUGUUUUAUUUCAUUUAUAUUUACAAUAGUAAAUUAAAAACCACUCGUCAUGGCGGACGAGUGGCAAGUAGUCCGCUACGGAAGGCGACGCCAUCGUCCCUUCCUUGAGAACCCAGACAGGGAUCGGGGGUUCUCCCGUGGGAUGGCCCGUGCACCUUCCUUCUACCCUCGUAGGAGGAAUCAAUUCCCCUACCCUAACCCUCCCCACACCCUAACCCU